GUCAGCCUGGGGUGGGGCCAACCACGAGGGGAGCAGGGCUGAGGCUCCUGUCGCUCUGCAUUACAGAGCUCCUGGAUCACACGGCUCCUGAAGGCGGCUGACCCCCCCCCCCGUCAUUUGCAUCCCUUUGAACUGGAUUUCCUGUCUGUUUAGACUGUAAAAAGUCCUAAGAGAGUCCAACAAACAGAAAUGAGAUCACUGCUUGCCAACGAUCCACAUGAGCGCAGAAUUUUAUGAGGGGAAAAGGAAAACCUGUUUUGACAUAUAAGCAUCAGAAUAAUCCACAUCCAAGUAGGAACCUUUACAAUGACUAUGAGGAAAAUAGAAACAGCCAGGUGCAAGGCUCUGGAAGUCCAGGUGAGCAUGAGGGUAGAGACCACCAGGUGCAAGGCUGGGGGAGUCCAGGUGAGCAUGAGGGUAGAGACCAUCAGGUGCAAGGCUGGGGGAGUCCAGGUGAGCAGGAGGGUAGAGACCACCAGGUGCAAGGCUGGGGGAGUCCAGGUGAGCAGGAGGGUCGCCGGCUCCGCGCCCAGGCUGGAAGGGCCUGACUGUGAUCCUGUUCCCGCCGUAGAAGGAGAGGAACAGAGACCCUGUUUUCUUUUUUUUUUUUUAAUAUUUAUUUAUUUAUUAUUUAUGAUAGACAUAGAGAGAGAGAGAGGCAGAGACCCAGGAGGAGGGAGAAGCAGGCUCCAUGCCAGGAGCCUGACGCGGAGACCCCGUUUUCUGAUCCGACCUAACAGCCCCAGCCCGUGGCCUGUUUCCACCGCUCUCGUCCAAGAGGAAGGAGUCACUGAAGCUGCCAGGGUCCCAGGCCGACCGCGGAGCAAAUCACCCCCACAGCCGCGAGGGCGGCCCAGACUCCUGCUGUCCCCCGGGGGACCUGCCCACGGGCCGCCUCUUCGGGGCCCAGAGACCGGGAGCAAGGUCAGCAGAUUCCCCAGAAAACGGUGUGUUACUUCUCUAGGCUUCCUCCGCUGACUGGUUACUUCUUUGGUUUGGUUCAGAUUUUGAAAACACAUCAUUUCAAUGCCAAGAUUAACAAAAGCUGGCGCUUUAUGAUGUUGGAAUUGACCCAACAAUUCACAGAUUAAAAACAAAAAACAAAAAAACUUCAGAGCCAAUCAAGUUGGAAAAAGCUGCACAUUCUGUUCGCUGGAUGGUCCUGCCGACCCUGCAGACCCAGGUCCUCCCACUGUCCAUUUGGGGAGUUGUAAGAAUUCGUAAGAAACAAAAGGAAAAUCUCCCUGCCUUCAUUUUUAUGUCUCCGGUGUUGAUACUAUCUCCCUGCCCACGGCUCUGCUGAGUAAACAGCCUCAUCUCUGCGCGGCCACCCCCACCGCAGCGCCCUCCCCCGCCGGCCCGAGAGGGUGGAGGCUGGACCCGACUGGACGCGGCCGACCCCUGAGCUGCCACGACCUACUGACCCACCGUGGCCUGGGUGGCCCAGGUGGCCUGGUCGAGAUGAUGAGCAGAGUCCCCUUGGGAACCGGGGCGCAUAGAGAUGGAUCUCAAGGGGCGGGAGCUGAAGCCAAAAGGAUG
rnacentral:lncRNA from 1 species